rnacentral:rRNA from 1 species
GAUGAACGCUGGCGGCGUGCCUAAUACAUGCAAGUCGAGCGAACAGACUAGGAGCUUGCUCCUCUGACGUUAGCGGCGGACGGGUGAGUAACACGUGGAUAACCUACCUAUAAGACUGGGAUAACUUCGGGAAACCGGAGCUAAUACCGGAUAAUAUAUUGAACCGCAUGGUUCAAUAGUGAAAGACGGUUUUGCUGUCACUUAUAGAUGGAUCCGCGCCGCAUUAGCUAGUUGGUAAGGUAACGGCUUACCUAGGCAACGAUGCGUAGCCGACCUGAGAGGGUGAUCGGCCACACUGGAACUGAGACACGGUCCAGACUCCUACGGGAGGCAGCAGUAGGGAAUCUUCCGCAAUGGGCGAAAGCCUGACGGAGCAACGCCGCGUGAGUGAUGAAGGUCUUCGGAUCGUAAAACUCUGUUAUUAGGGAAGAACAAAUGUGUAAGUAACUAUGCACGUCUUGACGGUACCUAAUCAGAAAGCCACGGCUAACUACGUG